rnacentral:rRNA from 1 species
AUGCGACCACGAACCACGUGGGCGGCGGUGCUCGGGUCCGGCCCGGACGUGCUCGAGGUGGGUACAGGGAUGGGGACGGUGGAGCGUAGGUUGGGUGCGGCCAGCGGUGGAACUCGAACAUGGGCGCCCGUGCGGCGAGCAAGAAAGUCGUCGAGAUCAUCCCAACAGAGCUACUCAGAUAUUCCAGGCCACAAUCCCCAUAAUUUCCAAGAAAAGUUCCCCAUUAAAAGAACGUCUGGCAGUUUGGAUGGCAUCAAUUCUGGAUCGGUUCAUGUUCCAAGCGAUCCCCACUUUCAACCAGCAGGAAGAGCUAAAAGGACAGAUCCAAGCAAAAGGAGGCGGCACCACAAUAUCCUUAUGACAGUGCUCAUAGAUUUUUUUGGGAAAAUAAGCUUGCCCCCAAACAUAUGUCCAAGAGUCAACCGCUACAUCCGGGUGGUUGAGGCUUUCCGGCCUCAAAGCAAGCACUGA